CCCCACUGUUGCCAGGGGAGAAGAGCUUCUGCGUAUCGCCGCAACGCCUCACCACACCCCUGAGAUGAUGAAAUAUUUUGUUGAGAGGCUGGUGCACACCUGGAAGGAGGUGGGCUUGGAUCUGAAGCCCCACUCGUCAGCAGAGUGCACGUUCUGCCAGCAGCCGCUGCACUUUGAGAUGAUGAGUGAGCGCGAAAAGUCUUACUUCAGCGGCCUUAGCCACCUCAUCUCAGCCUGCGCAUAACACUACUGCUGGCUCAUGACGGCACAUACAUACUUAUCACCCAUUCCUCUAUCACUGUCAUAGAAUAUAUUAAUUAUCUUUGAUAAAUCCUCCUACACAUGUUAUUUAAAGUAUUCUAUGUUCAGAUGUUCUAUAUGCUCAGAAUAAAAUAUGAAAUGGAAAGAA